GGCAAUCUGCCCUUCACUCUGGGACAAGCCCUGGAAACGGGGUCUAAUACCGGAUACUGACCCUUGCAGGCAUCUGCGAGGUUCGAAAGCUCCGGCGGUGAAGGAUGAGCCCGCGGCCUAUCAGCUUGUUGGUGAGGUAAUGGCUCACCAAGGCGACGACGGGUAGCCGGCCUGAGAGGGCGACCGGCCACACUGGGACUGAGACACGGCCCAGACUCCUACGGGAGGCAGCAGUGGGGAAUAUUGCACAAUGGGCGAAAGCCUGAUGCAGCGACGCCGCGUGAGGGAUGACGGCCUUCGGGUUGUAAACCUCUUUCAGCAGGGAAGAAGCGAAAGUGACGGUACCUGCAGAAGAAGCGCCGGCUAACUACGUGCCAGCAGCCGCGGUAAUACGUAGGGCGCAAGCGUUGUCCGGAAUUAUUGGGCGUAAAGAGCUCGUAGGCGGCUUGUCACGUCGGUUGUGAAAGCCCGGGGCUUAACCCCGGGUCUGCAGUCGAUACGGGCAGGCUAGAGUUCGGUAGGGGAGAUCGGAAUUCCUGGUGUAGCGGUGA
rnacentral:rRNA from 1 species